rnacentral:rRNA from 1 species
GAUGAACGCUGGUGGCGUGCCUAAUACAUGCAAGUCGAGCGAACGGACGAGAAGCUUGCUUCUCUGAUGUUAGCGGCGGACGGGUGAGUAACACGUGGAUAACCUACCUAUAAGACUGGGAUAACUUCGGGAAACCGUAGCUAAUACCGGAUAAUAUUUUGAACCGCAUGGUUCAAAAGUGAAAGACGGUCUUGCUGUCACUUAUAGAUGGAUCCGCGCUGCAUUAGCUAGUUGGUAAGGUAACGGCUUACCAAGGCAACGAUGCAUAGCCGACCUGAGAGGGUGAUCGGCCACACUGGAACUGAGACACGGUCCAGACUCCUACGGGAGGCAGCAGUAGGGAAUCUUCCGCAAUGGGCGAAAGCCUGACGGAGCAACGCCGCGUGAGUGAUGAAGGUCUUCGGAUCGUAAAACUCUGUCAUUAGGGAAGAACAUAUGUGUAAGUAACUGUGCACAUCUUGACGGUACCUAAUCAGAAAGCCACGGCUAACUACGUG